rnacentral:rRNA from 1 species
UACGAAGGGUGCAAACGUUGCUCGGAAUUAUUGGGCGUAAAGCGCACGUAGGCGGCUUUGCAAGUCGGAUGUGAAAUCCCUCGGCUUAACCAAGGAAGUGCAUCCGAAACUGCAGAGCUUGAGUACUUAAGAGGAUCGCGGAAUUCCCGGUGUAGAGGUGAAAUGCGUAGAUAUCGGGAGGAACACCAGUGGCGAAGGCGACUACCUGGCCUGUUCUUGACGCUGAGGCGCGAAAGCUAGGGGAGCAAACGGG